UCUUCUGAGUAGCCUUCACUGAGACACACACAAAGGCAGAUUAACGCCAACAAUGUAAGCAUUGAUAGAAGGAGAAGACGAGGAAGAAUGAUCCACCUAAAAGCAAUGUUUUAACCCACCCGACGGAGCUCUUAAAAAAUUAAUUCAUGCUGUGUCUGUUGUUGGGGAAUAAUCCAAAUGAGUUGGUAACAUAGGAAAUUUUCACGACACUGUUUUGCAACAAACAGCCCAGCAGCGCAAAGAGCCCAUGCCAGAGAGACAUGCACAAGCCAUGACAUCAUCAAACCGAGCAGGAGAAAAGGAGUUCACUCAUUCCUAUCAGGAUGGGGGGCAGGAGCCAAAGAUCACCAUUCCUUCCUUACAAUGGUGUAUGGGAACCAUAAACUAAUAACACAGAAUAUGAAUACUGUAUAGAUAAUACAUUAAUUAUUACCACUUUCAAAUAGCUUAAGGUCAAACACCAUUUAUAUUUGGGUAAGAGCGUCUGCUAAAAUGAUGUAAAUCUGUGGGUUUGUGUUGCAACAUCACAGAGAUGAAAGAUGCUCAAUCAUUUAAGUUAUAGAACGCACUGAACUUGUGAGACAUUUUGAAAUACUCGGAGGCAGAGCAUUUGGACAAAAAUGCUUACCAUCAAAUGGAGCUGUGCUGUUGUACUUGCUGAGCAUUAUGUGAAACCAACAGGAUGUACUAUUAAUGUUGAAGAUGAAAAAGAUUCCAUCUGUGACCCAUUUCUAUAGCUGACUAUUAUCACAACAAUCUCAUCAGCAUAUGACUAGAGAAAUUAGUUCACUCCAUAAAUGAAACUUGUAUUUGUCUUUAAUGUAAUUUACAUUUGGCUAUUAUUUCAACAAGACGAAUGGUUUUCAAUCACAUAGCUUGUAAAAUGACUACACAAUCCGACAGUAUAAAUUCCUUAUU